ACAUAUCCACCAUUAACAAAUCUAACUGUUCAUAUUCUAAUCUAAUCCAACGUCACCCGUCCCGUACUUCUUCGGAGGUUUGGCUGCCUAAGUGGGUCUCAUUGCUUUUGGUUUCUUGUUUAUUUAUUUGCACCUACUUAAAUGUUACCGAAGAGGAGCAGAUUGACGGCGACGUACAGAGAAACCUUGAAGCCGGAGAUGCGGAAUCCGAUAAUCAGAGCCGUCGUUUGAUUUGUUUUCGUUGUCGUUUGCAGGCCAACCCGAUUCCUCACCUAAUCUAUUUUCUCUAUCAAAUUCAUACUAUCCAUUUCGUUUAUCCUAAUUCGUGAAUUGAAAUAUCUGUCUAAUCGAAAAACCCUAGUUUUUCCUCUUGGCAUCCGUUUCAUUGUAUGUCGAAGAUUACUUGAUCGUGCGUAUAUUCGUAAACACAGAAAGUAUACAGGUCGAAAUUGGAGUUGACAAACAACAGAAAUGGUUAAAUUCAUUUGGGUUCUUGUCAAUCUUCUAUUCAUAUUGAUUACCGGAUGUGAUUUGAGUUAUGAAAUGCUGCGACUGAGGGGAUUCCAAAUUGUGGGGCAAUGGAAUUCAUUACAAAAGGAGACAUGAUUUAUAUACCUUAUUGGGUAUUGAUGGAAACAUUUAAUUCUUGCUCAUGUAGAUUGAUAAAUAUUUUACAAUAUGUUCUUUUAACCUUAUAUUAGGACCUUUUUUUGGAAAAAAAUUGUUUUUAAUGUUGAACUUUGAAAAAAAAUGUUCAUAUAUAGCA